GGCGGCCACCGCUAUUGGAAUUCGAUUAAGACAUGCGAGUCGAGAGUCGCAAGGACUCGGCGGACCGCUCAGUAACACGCGGAUAACAUGCCCUUGGGUGGGGGAUAACCUCGGGAAACUGAGAAUAAUACCCCAUAGACCUUGAAAGCUGGAAUGCUUCGAGGUCGAAAACUCCGGUGCCUUAGGAUUGGUCUGCGGUCUAUCAGGCUGUAGUGGGUGUAAUGGACCCACUAGCCCGUGACGGAUAUGGGCCUUGAGAGAGGGAGCCCAGAGAUGGACUCUGAGACAUGAGUCCAGGCCCUACGGGGCGCAGCAGUCGCGAAAACUUCGCAAUGGGGGCAACCCCGACGAGGGAAUUCCAAGUGCUAGCACUUUG
rnacentral:rRNA from 1 species